rnacentral:rRNA from 1 species
CAAUAGCGUAUAUUUAAGUUGUUGCAGUUAAAAGCUCGUAGUUGGAUUUCGGAUGUGAACGACCGGUCCGCCGUUGCGGUGUGCACUGGACGUUUGUAUCUUGUUGUCGGGGACGCGCUCCUGACCUUAACUGGGAGGGACGCGGAGUCGGCGCUGUUACUUUGAAAAAUUAGAGUGUUCAAAGCAGGCAACCGCUCUGAAUACAUUAGCAUGGAAUAACGCUAUAGGACUCUGGUCCUAUUGUGUUGGUCUUCGGGACCGGAGUAAUGAUUAAGAGGGACAGACGGGGGCAGUUCGUUACUGGGCCGCCAGAGGCUGAAACUUCUUUAACUGGGCAUCAUUGAACGGA